rnacentral:rRNA from 1 species
AAUGAUUGGGCGUAAAGGGUCCGCACGUCGGCAUUGUAAGUCUGCUGUUAAAGAGUUUGGCUCAACCAAAUAAGAGCAGUGGAAACUACAAAGCUAGAGUGUGGUCGGGGCAGAGGGAAUCCUGGUGUAGCGGUGAAAUGCGUAGAUAUCAGGAAGAACACCAGUGGCGAAGGCGCUCUGCUAGGCCGAGACUGACACUGAGGGACGAAAGCUAGGGGAGCGAAUGGGAUUAGAUACCCCAGUAGUCCUAGCCGUAAACGAUGGAUACUAGGCGUAGCUCGUAUCGACCCGAGCUGUGCCGGAGCUAACGCGUUAAGUAUCCCGCCUGGGGAGUACGCAGGCAACUGUGAAACUCAAAGGAAUUGACGGGGGCCCGCACAAGCGGUGGAGUAUGUGGUUUAAUUCGAUGCAACGCGAAGAACCUUACCAAGGCUUGACAUGUCACGAAUCCUAUUGAAAGAUGGGAGUGCCUUCGGGAGCGUGAACACGGGUGGUGCAUGGCUGUCGUCAGCUCGUGUCGUGAGAUGUUGGGUUAAGUCCCGCAACGAGCGCAACCCUCGUUUUCAGUUGCCAGCAUUAAAAUGGGCACUCUAGA